GGAAAUGUAACUCAGAGGUAAAGCAUUUGCUUGGAAUGCUUGAGGCCCUGGGUUCAAUUCCCAGCACCG
rnacentral:tRNA from 1 species